rnacentral:rRNA from 2 species
ACGGGAGGCAGCAGUGGGGAAUAUUGCACAAUGGGCGAAAGCCUGAUGCAGCGACGCCGCGUGAGGGAAGAAGGUUUUCGGAUUGUAAACCUCUGUCCCGAGGGACGAAAAGGACGGUACCUCGGGAGGAAGCCACGGCUAACUACGUGCCAGCAGCCGCGGUAAAACGUAGGUGGCGAGCGUUGUCCGGAAUUACUGGGUGUAAAGGGAGCGCAGGCGGAAAGGCAAGUCAAAUGUGAAAUCUAUGGGCUCAACCCAUAAAUUGCGUUUGAAACUGUUUUUCUUGAGUGGAGUAGAGGCAAGUGGAAUUCCUGGUGUAGCGGUGGAAUGCGUAGAUAUCAGGAGGAACACCGGUGGCGAAGGCGACUUGCUGGGCUCUAACUGACGCUGAGGCUCGAAAGCGUGGGUAGCAAACAGGAUUAGAUACCCUGGUA